UGAGGAAUAUUGGUCAAUGGGCGCGAGCCUGAACCAGCCAAGUAGCGUGAAGGAUGAAGGUCCUAUGGAUUGUAAACUUCUUUUAUAGCAGAAUAAAGUGACCCACGUGUGGGUUUUUGUAUGUAUGCUAUGAAUAAGGAUCGGCUAACUCCGUGCCAGCAGCCGCGGUAAUACGGAGGAUCCGAGCGUUAUCCGGAUUUAUUGGGUUUAAAGGGUGCGUAGGCGGAAAGAUAAGUCAGCCUGUGAAAGUUUGCGGCUCAACCGUAAAAUUGCAGUUGAUACUGUUUUUCUUGAGUGUACAUAAGGUAGGCGGAAUUCGUGGUGUAGCGGUGAAAUGCUUAGAUAGCACGAAGAACUCCGAUUGCGAAGGCAGCUUACCGGGGUACAACUGACGCUGAUGCACGAAAGUGUGGGUAUCAAACA
rnacentral:rRNA from 1 species